UGCCCCAUGGCUGAGUUGGUUACAGCGUCCGACUGUUAAGAUCACAUCAUGUGACUGGCAUCGGAAGGUCGUGAGUUCGAGCCUCACUGGGGCAG
rnacentral:tRNA from 1 species